rnacentral:lncRNA from 1 species
AGAGCCGUGGCGGCCAGUGCUGGUGCCUUGAAGCAGACGUCAGAGCUCCUGCGGGGCUCCUGUCUGGUAUGUUUCCCUGAGGGCUGGGCCAGACCAGGGAGGCCCUGAGGGAGGGGAUGUGGCCCUGGAGGGGUUCGGGGAUCCGUGUGCACAGAUGGAUACUCAGGCUGCCCUGGGUUCGGCCACAUGUGGCUCAGGGGCCAGAACUGGGUGUGUGGGCCCUUUGAGCAGCAGGGGCCAGGGGUGGCUGCUGCGACUGCUCUCCUGGCACCUGCCUUGUGGUUGUGGUGAGGGUGUCCGAGUCUUGGCUGGGCCUUCCUGAAUGGAGACUGACGACCCCAGGGUCAGUGUCACUGUCUUUGCCCCCUCCACUGCCCCUGCCUUCCUGUCCCCGUCUCUGCCUCCCGGCUCCCUGGGAGCUCCCUGCCCCUUGCCAGUGUUCAUCAUUGGGUUUCUGUGUGCGCCUGUCCUGUCAGUCAUUACCCUGCCCCUCACCAGCCACAUGAGGUUUGUCACCACACCUAUUGCCACACCAGGGUCCCAGGAAUGUCUGCCACCACAUAGCUCCACCCCCACCCUCCUCUCACCUGUGCCAGGAAGCACACUGUGUUACCCACACCCCACCCAAGUGUCCAGAGAUCAGAGGAUGCUGCUCUCAGAGGGUCAGAGGCCAUUGGGCCUCGGCGACUGCCGCCUGCCCGGCCUGUGCAGGGCGUCCUCAUACCCAGCCUCUGAGGUAUGCCCAUCUCAGUGCUUCCCGCUGCCAGGACACUGCCUAGGUGCGAGGGCUGAGUGGCCUGCAAAGCCUGGUCCUGAGGACAGCAGAACCCUGCUGAGCUCUGCGUGGACACAUAUGGCGUGGCACCUGCCUGCAGGAGGUGCUGCUCAACAGGGGGGUGGGACUUGGAGGCCCCCGCCCCCCGCCUGGGCAUACCUCGAGGGAGCCCGAGGGCAGCAGGCCUGAGGUUGGCAACCAUAAGGUGGAUCAGUGGCUUCCAGGACUGGGGGUGCAGCGGAACCUACUGCAUUCGGGCACCAGGGAACUUUGGGUGAUAGAGUAUUUUAAAAGCUGGGUGGUGAUAGCUGUGCCACUGCAGAGUGCGGCUCUGCAUGCUAGGGUGGGGCCAUGGGAUCAGUCAAGCUUCCUAAAACUAAGAUGUGGCCAGCUUUCCAGUGACUGGGCACACAGACUCUCCCAGAGGUGCUCUGGUGGCCGGUAGCUGAUCUCACAGGACUUGCUAAUCAGUGCAGUUCUUCAGGGGAGACGCGACUCUCUUUGGUUCUGAAUCUUGGGCAGGAGUCAUAGCUGCUCACAGAGUCAUAGCAGCCUGACCACUAGUGUAUCCCAGGCCUUCUGCUCAGCCGCCUGGGCUGGGCCUGGCACCUGCAGCAGCACCCUUGGUUCUGCGACCUGUGUCCUCCUGUCCAUGCAUGCCUUCCUUCUUCAGACAUGCUGGCCUCUCACAUGGCGCCUGUUCUCCAGGUCAUAGGCACGCCGUGCAGCAGGAGCACCACAGUCCCCGCCCAUCUUCUGGUGCGGCCAGCUGACCUGCUCGCUAGAGCCGACACUUGCCCAGUGCCUGCUUUGUCUCCGCCUGGUGGGGUGGGCACACUUAGGGAAGAGGUAUCUCCUACACUGUGGGACAUGAUUGAGGUGGCGACCCCCCCAUGCCCUGGUCCUUGGAGGUUUUCCACAAGCCAGGACUUGUAAGUCUGUCGCUCUUCCCGGGGCCCUGGCAGCACUGGCCAGUAUCUUGCUCUCUUUCUACAGGAGGAACGACCUGCCCAAGAUGCCUUGGCUAGGGAGGAGCCCAGUAGAUGUGAACUCUGGCCCAGGUGGGCCCAGCCGGCCCCUGUCCUCUACCAGGGCGACACAGAGCCUGAGCCCCGCGUGUCUGGCAUAGUUAGCCAACACGGUCAUCCAGCAGGGUCCUUGGGCAUGGGUGUAGGACACCCCCUGGUUACCAAAGUCCGUGUUCAGCCAAGUUCCUUGCAUAGAGUGGUGUAUCAUGUGUAGGUGACUUGUGCACGCCCUCCCGUGUACUUCAGGUCACCUGAGCUCCUGGGGUGCCAGCAUGGUGCAGAGACUGUGGCCAGUGGUAGGCGCACUGAUGGGGGUGAUGGCGAGAGCAGGGGUGAUCUGAGCCAGGCACGGUAGUCUGAGUCCUCUGUGCUGUUGGUGGACCCCGGUGUGGCAGUGUUCUAAAUGACAGCCUACUGGGUGUCCGUCUGCCCUACUCCACCUGAAACCCCACAGACUUGCUUGUGAAAUUGGGGCGAGGAGGCACAAAUGGGCUGGGAGCCUUCCUUGGUGGCUCCCAUAGUGCCGUGGGAGGACUCUGGACCACGCAGUGUCCACUGGCCCUGGGCAAGUGCAGGACGCGACAGGGCCUCACAGGAGGAGGUCUCACCACAUGCCGUGGCCUGAAGGAGGGGGCACUGCUGUGGGCCCGUGGUGUUGGCAGGCAUGGGGAGCAGCUGCCCAAUGUGCUGGGGAUGCUGGGUGGAGGGAGGUCUCGGUUACAGCAGAUGGGCCUGAGGGUUCAGUUGCCCAUGUGGGCAGGGGUUGAGGACUGGGCUUCUCCUUGCUCUAACAAGAGUCUGUGGGGAAGCACCCGCCGUGUGGCUCUCGGUGCCUCCCUCACCCGGCCCGAGCUUUAGGGAAUGAGAUGGUUUGGGUCACCGUAGCCACCUCCACUGCCGAGGGAGGGACCCUGGCAACCUGGCUGCCUUCUGUGUGGUGCUCACUGCUCCCUCGCAAGGUGGGUGUGGAGCCCCUUGUUUUGGGGGCUCCAUGGCCUGGUAGCUCUAGGAAGCAUGCCAGGUCCCCUUUCUCCUUCCUGAGCUGGUCUGCUGAGUAGGGCACAGGGGGACAUCAGUGCAGCCUCCCAGAGGUGCAUGCUGGGGUGGGUGCCAGGCGGGCUCUCUGGAGGAAGGCUCGCGCAGCAAACAGACACCAUGGGCAGCAGCAGGGCCAGUGCUGUGCUCUCCCAGGCUACUUGCUCUGUCCUGGGGUUCAAGUGUGGUAUCCAUGACCUGAGGCCACCCACCCAGGACAUCGAAACAGGCUCCACCAACUGCUGAGUGGGGCGUGUGGGCCCAGAGUUGGAAAGCCUGUCCCUCAAGCGCGGGCCACAGCUCAUCUGCCAACACUAGCACCUCUCGCCAUGGGUGUUAGUGGCAGUGGGUGGCGGUGUGUGGUGGCUGUGGACAGCCAGGUCUGCUGGGACCACACUGAAGUACCCAGGCUGGGCAGGGCACUAGAGCUGCUGUGGUUUCCUUGGUGCCAGUUCCACAGGGCUGGAGGCGGGAGGGGAGGCCCUAUCAGGCAGUGGGGUCCGUGGCCAACCUGAGCAGGGACACUUGACUCCAGGCCUGGCCUGUCCAGCCCCUCACCUGAUGAACGCUUCUGGAGCACCAGCUCAGUGGCGGUUCACGUCUUGGUGGCGGUGUGUGGUGCUGAACAGCAGGGGAGCAGGCUGAGGGGCGGUGUGGCGGGGGAGGGGGACAGCAGUAGGACAAGGCAUGGGUCCCUGGGACCCGGCUCCAGUACCUGACGCCUGGACUGGCCCAGUCAGGACUCGGGUCCUGGUCUCCUGGGCUGUGGGGCGACCACAGUGCUUGGGUUAUGAGGGGCCAAGCCACACACUGGGCCACCGUAGCUCCGGGCUCCUGACUGUGCUGGUCGCGCUCCGUGGGUCCUAUGGUGCUGGUGUCACUGGGACUCUGGCUGAUGACGACAGUGGCCAUGAGCCACUUCCUCAGGGUGGGGAUGUGACAAUGCAUGGAGAAGCUGGGCUGUGGCCCUGCUGGGCAGAGAGGGGCACAGAGAGCACCAUGACAGUAAGCCUGCCCUCUGUCUGCAGCAGGAGCGCCUUCAGCUGGACCGGCUGAAGAUCCAGCUAGCAGAUGCCAUUCAGCGGUACGGAGUGGUCCAAAAGGUGAGGUGCCGCUGGCGGGGUGCAGGCCAGUGGGGGCUGUGGGCCCUGGAGCAUACCUCAGGUGGCUGUCUCUGGGUGGCGUGGGGUGGCCUUCCUCCUCCAGAAGUGCUGCCCCAAGGGGAACUUACAACAGCCUCCUGGGGACAGGCAGGGCAGGCCUCACCCCAUUUUGACAGACAGGGAAACGAGGCCCUCUGAGGCUGUCCAGCCAGUCCUGCGAGCCUGCCCAGGGCCUGGCUCCCCCCGGUGUGCUUGGCUCUCAGGGCCUGUGGUUUAUCUGACCCUUCUCUUUCCACCUUUAACAUUCUUCGUUUCUUUCUUCUUUUGUACUUUUUCCAACAGAAAAUUGCAGAAAAGUCCAGAGCACUGCUUCCCACAGCUCAGAGGGGCAUCAAACAGGUGGGUGCCACGUGGGUACUGUGGUCAGGCAGUGGCUGUGGGGUCAGUACCGACUCCGUUGCCGUCUGUGCUCCAGGAGAGGGUGGGAAGCUGGGGACAGGCCCAUUCAAGGGUCUGCCUCAGUGUCCAGCUUGUAGAGCUCCGGCAUUCUGACCUUUGGGCUCUGGCAUGGUGCCGACCCUAGGAAGCUCCCAAGUGACUGCUGAUGGUUGCGUGUGGCAUCACACUUUCUUAUUUUCUAUAACAAAAUACUUGAGACCGAGUGCUUUAUAAAGAAAAGGUUUAUUGAGCUCCCAGUUUGGAGGCUGCAAGUGCAAGUGGCCCCAUCAGCUUGGCCUCUACUGAGGGUCCCCUGGCAGUUGGCAUCCCAGUGGCAGGAGUCUUGUGGUGCGCGGAAAGCCAGAGUGCGACGUGGUCAGGUGCACUUUCACAACCCUCACCCUGCAGGGCUAAGCGGGCUCCCCUGGCACCACUGCACCUGAUCACCUCAUAAGGUCCUUCCACCUUCCUGUCACCGCACAGGGGACCAGGAUCUCACACCCUCCAACCUUAGCAUAGGCACACUGCCUGUGAGAGCCAUGUAAAGCCAGGAUAUACACACACCCCGACUCAGAGACGUGCCACACACAGACCAGCCGGGACACGAGAGACAGAUUCCAUUGACCAUGCUGGGCAGGGUGGCCUGGAGCCUCAGCAGCCUCACUGGGCCAGGAGGACAGGUUCCAGAGCUCAGACUUCCUCAGCCAGGGCUUGAGGAGCGUCCUCCAGGAGAAAGACAGCCCCACCCCACCCCACCCGUGCAGCCCCCUCAGGGCUCUGCUGAUCUGCAUGCUGUGUGGGCCUGCUGUGCCAGGCCAGGGAGCAGGACAGAGGCCGUCAGCAGAAGAGCCAGCGGGACCUCGGCACUCAGAGUACUGAGGCAGAUGUGGUAUAAGGCCCAUGGAGGAAGGGCUAUUGUGGGCACCACCGGCCAGUUGAGAGCCCUGAGCAUCAGAGGCACCAGGAGGAGGCCAAUCCCAGUAAGCCCUGAAACUGUGCCCGCUGGCUGCCCAAGGAUGGUCGUGUUCCUUCUGGAAGACAAGUCCAUGGUCUGAUGUCUCUGGUUGCUCAUUUAUGGCAUCUAGGAUUUUAACCAAAAUUGCUGGGCAUGCCCGGUACUGGGAGAAUAAAUAGUGACCAAUCUUCAGGGAAUGUGGAUUGAAAUGAUUGGAUGUGAACUUAAUGAAGCUGUGCAAAUGUGGAAGGAGUUAGAUGAGGUGGUGGGACUUUCCUAGAGAACUUGAAUCUGCACAUGGAGAAGUCCAGCGUUGAAUACACCAAGACUAAAAUGAAGACCUCAGGAGAUUGGCCAGCUCUCAGGUUAGAAGAAGGCAGGAUUGAUGAACUGGAAGGCGGUGACACAGGUAAGGGGUGAGAAGGUGUCCAGUGCCACGGCCAUGCCCAGCAACUUGGGAGGCUGAGGAGGAGAAUGCCAAGUUCAAGCCCAGUCUAAGCGACUUGGUGAGGCCCUGUCUCAAAAUGAAAAAUAAAGAACAAGGGCUGGGGUGUAGCUUGGUGGCACAACGUCCCCAAAAAGAUCCACAGAAGAAUGUAGUAGUUGGAGGCCUAGAUGAACAGAGGGAAAGAAUGGAUAGAACUAAUGUUUGAAGAGUAAUGGCUAAAAAUUUCCCCAGACUGUCCAAAUACUGCAGGCACAGAUCCAAGAAACUUUAUGGUAAGUAGAGUAAGUUUGUCCCUGAUUUAAAUAAAAUCCUUGGUUAUAUAGUAAUAAAAAUUUGAAAACCAAAGGCAGAAAUCAAUCUUAAAAGAUUUUGAAACCACAGAAAAUCUUAAAAGCACGUUACGCCAGAGGAGAAGGGCACGCUGUGUUUGAAGACACAGGAACCACAGCUCACAGAAGCGGUGAGGGCCAGGAGACGGCAGAAGCGCCCCUGUGCUGGGUCGUGCUGGGUUGCACUGGGUCGCACUGGGUCGUGACACGUGACUGACCCAGUCAGGGUCACCCCAGGUGAACUGGGCUGCACCAAGUAAACACACAGAGGCAGAGAAAUACCUUUUUCUCUGGUUCUGUGACGGCUCCUCCAACCCAGCUCCCACAGGAGACAAGGCAGGCAAGAGAGAGUGUGCUCCUUGAACCCGGGUGUUGUUGGGGGAGGCUGUUCCAUGGACUGUUCUAUCCCCCAAAGGGCAAAGGGGUAGGACUACAAAGGAACAGGUGAGUGGACUCAACCCAGCAGGUGACAUCUACUCCUGGAGCCACACUGUGUUAUCCGAGCUGGGGUAACGCCCAAGUUACUGUGACCUGGCUCUGCCGUGCCAGAGGAAGACAGUGACUGUUCAGNGACAGGAGCAGGGUCGGCUCUGGGAGUGCAAGGCUGGUCAAUUCAGAAACAGUUGGUGUGAUUCACCUGCUAGAACACAUGGGCUGACGCCAGGGCUGUCCCAGCACACCCAGAAAAGCCCCACUCAGGGAUGCUGGGAAACGGGCAGAGUAGGAACUGGCAGGGUGACUUGGAUCUGUAAGAGGUGCCUGCAGAACCCGAAGCUCGUUGCACUCUGCUGGGCAAACGUCGUCUCCUGAGCUCGAGGAUAGGGCACCUACUUCUGUCCCCUCCAUUGGCAUUGUGUGGACCUGUGCAGUGUGGUGGGCAUGAAGAGACAGGUGGGAGACCCAGGCAGAGCGGGGCAGGCUGCUUCUAAGGACCCGGCGGGACUUGGAACUGGUGAGAGUUGAGAUGCUAGCUCGGCAUCUGGGAAGACAGAAAUUACAUUGAAGACGUGAUGUGACUCCAGUCAUUCUUCACAGUUAGUGCCCAUAGCCCCAGCUCGUGGAGGGGCUGAGGUGGGAAGGACCACUGAGCCCAGGAGCUCAGGAUGAGCCGGGCACAUGGCAGACACCAUCUCGAAGGAGAAGAGAAAGCAGCACCAACUCAUUAGCAUCGAGAGUGGGGAGAAGCCUGUGAAGAGCUGCCUGAGGCCGCUGUGGAAACUGCAUCGUUGCUGAGAGAGAUGGUGGAAGGGCCGAGACGGGACGGCAACACCAGGCGGACAGAGGUGCUGCUUUCAGUAGACGGUCUGCAGCUCCCCGUCCAGAGGGAGACUCCAUGGGCUUGAGAGCACAUGCUGUGUAUGUGGUCUUACAGACCCUGACGUGCACCUGGGAGCCAGUCCUGCCUAAGAACACAGCGCAGGAGCCCAUCAGCAGACAUGAGGACCUGGUGUGAAGCCUCUGCGGCAUGCGCAGGUGGACACAGACCCUCACACACAUGCUGGUCAGAGUUCGUGGUCUGCCUAGGUGGACUGCCUAUGGACACAUGGGUGUUUGAUCUAGAGAAAAGGACCCUUUGCAGACUUGAGCUCACCUGUGCACAGAGAUGUUUCUGGCAGGGCAAAGCCUCAUGCAAGAGCCAAGGCAGGAGCAUUCCUCCGACACCCGGAGCAGGCCCUUCACCCCACUUUGAGGGCAGGAUGUUCUUCCACAACUAUCUGAAGCACCAUCUGAAGAAUGAGAGUGGCAGACUUGACUUGGUUAAGAUGAAUAUGACAUUGAGAGAGAGAGUAUUUGCACAAUACAUCUGAGAGGACUUAUGUCCACGCUAUGUAAAGACCUCUUCCAAAUCAAGAAAAAGGCAGCCUUAGGUACAUCCCUAAAGAGGAUUUCCAAAUGACAGAUAAGCAUGUGAAUGUACACUCAACACACUACUCAGCAGAAAAAUGGAAAGCAAACCAUAACAGAGUAUUGUUACACACAAACUCUCAUCCACCAAAACAAGAGUGUAGUAAGCAUACCUGAGAGGGCCUGCUGUUGGCAGGCCCGUGGGGCAGCUGGAGGUCUGUGCUCUGCUGGUGACUGUGGAUUGUUUGUUCCUGCUCAGGAACAUAGAAUGUCUGUGAAGUCCAGCAUUUUCCUACCUGUGAUCUUGUAGUUCUACCCAAAGGAGGUGCAUAUAUGUGUUCCCUGAAAGGCACAUGUAAGAACACUCAUAGCAACACCCCUGCAGGACCCCGAACCUGGUGCCCAGAGGAGACAAGUGAUCUGUGCUGGGCUCACACAGGAGGAGACUCACGUGCUGUGGAGUUAAGGUCUGGCCAGAGGAAUGCCUGGCACCAAGCACCAGGGGCCUGGGUAGCCGUCAUGAGGAGGAUGCCUUGGUGCCGGCUGAGCCCUGGCUGGACAGUGUCUCCCUCAUGUGUUUCUGGACUGGACACUUGGCACGUGUGCCCUGGACUGCAGAUUCACUGCUUGAUGGCAAUUUCUGUUAAUGAGGAAGGAAUGGGCAGCAGCAUUUCUGAGAAAUUGUGGAGGCUUAGAUUAUUUCCAGGAAUUGUGCAAACCAUAAAUAGUGAGAUGACAUGUGACCCUGUUCAACCAGGGGCUUGUUGCCAGGUUGGUGCUGUAGACUUGGGGCACCUGAGCAGCGAGCUUCCUGUGAGGAGCCACUCAGCCUGACUGGAGUUGGCCACCUCAGCGUGGUCGGAUGUGGGCUCUAACUGGUCAGUUUCAGUGAGCAGAGCUGAGACUGUUGAGGGUGGGGGCAAGCCACAAUGGUGGGUCAUCUUUCUUGAGACCCUGGGCCUGCUCGGCCUUGCUGUCUGCCAGAACAUGGUCCCCAGGCCAGACGGUCAAAACGCUCUGUUUCCAUGCUUGCGGGAGUCCCUUGGCUUCCGUCUGAGGUCUGGGGCACCAGGCAGAGUUGCUGUGUCUUGCUGCCCUGGCCCCCCUUUUGUUUAAUAUGGGUUUGGGGGCAGGAUUGCUACAGUUUUGAUAGCCUCCAGAGACUUCCAUUUGGAGGAAUUGCUGACCAGUUGUGGGGGCCCUUCCCACAGGAGUGGACCUGGUGUGAAGGCCCUGCCGCGUGUGCAGGGUCUCCUGCCCUCCAUGACUGGAGGAUUGGAGGAUUGAGAAAGAGCCUCAUUUCCCAGAAACUAAGCCCUGGGUGCUGCCCUGGGUCUGCACCAUCAUGCUCCUUUUUCCCCAGGGGAGGGUGGGCAGGGCCCCUACAAGCAUCAUCGUCCCCAAACAAAUACCCCUUGAGCUUGGUCUCCUUCGUGAGAAAAUGUGCAGUCCCUUUUCCAGUGGCACUUUGUAGCACCUCCUUCUGCCCAGCAUGGGCUGGCCCUGGGCCUGAAGGCGAGUGGGGCCACCAUUGUUGGUCUCUGAGCUGGAGUCACCGCAGUAGCCUGUGUGCUCUAUACCCCCAGCACCUGCCCCCAAAUCCCUAAUCCAUUUUCGGCUGGCUUUGAGCUACAGACCCAAAUUGGGCCUCUGUGGGCAGCACAGAGGAGCUUUGCCAGACUUGCAGGGUGUGCUGAGGGGUCCAGCCAGCCCCCUCCCUGUCCUGUGUCGGGUCUUGCUGGGAGGCUUGGCGGCCUGCAGGGUCAGCUCUGCCCCACCACAGCCCUCCGCAUCUCCUAGCGCCACCUCCUUCACGCAGUGGGGCAGCCAGCCAAGGCACCAUUCCUGGUGGCCUGCAGGGGUGGCCCAUACAGCCACUCUGCUCUCAGCUUGUGGGGGCUUCCCCUGAAACCCAGACUUGGAAAACCAAACAUCCCGAGAGGCCCUGGGCACCCAGUGUGUCUGAGGCGGUCGUGUGGCCUGCUUCCUAGAGCUUUGCCAAGGAAGUGGGCGUUCUCCCUUCCAGCUCUUCCGGGCCAGGUCGCCGUGGAGUGCCGGAGGUGUGCUAGGUGCACCUCUGGAGUCCUCUGUGUGCUGGGAGCUUUUGGAAGUGUUGAGUGGGCCAGGCCUCCCUCAGCUGGGCUCUGCUUUAGGGCCUGUUGCUCCAGGGGUCUGAGUGGCUAACGUCCCUGACUCGGCACCAGGAAUGGCACGGGUCUUCCUUGUCUCCCAUGGAGAGUCAGAAGUGCCACCUCCUGGUCCUGGCCUUCCCCGUGCUCCGGCCCUUGCUCAUGGGUCUUUCCUCUCAAGGUGCUUCUGGGUGCAGUGCUGUCAGCUUUGUGUCCUAGAAGUGGAGACCAGGGCUCAGAGAAGUGAGGCCCUUGCCCAGGCUGGCAUAGCCAAGAGGCCUCCCGUGAGUCAGGAGACUCCGAUGUCUGUGGGUCCCUAUGGGCAUAGUCUUGUGCUCAGCAGGCAGAAUGGCCACGUGGCCAGUGCCUGGUGAGCGCAGAUUGUGGGCUGGGGGUGCGGGAGCGUGGUUGUUCCCACUGGACAAAUGGGAGCCCCAGGGCCCAGACAAUGUCUGUGACUUGCUGGACCUCACAACAGGUGCCAGUGCCACACAGGACUUGGGCCAGGGUUUUCCGAGAGCACCCUGAAAGCUCUGGAGGGGGCUGUGGCCGCAGGAGGAGGCGCGGUGCAGGCUCUGGCGCAGGGCCAACACCCCUCCCGCACCCGCUGCCAGGCACUGCUCACUUCCUCCCACCCACACGGGAAGGGGAGGUGAUAAUUAUUGCCCUGGACGAGUAGCGCUUGUCGACAGAUUUUUUAGAUCUUUUAUUUUAUAUUCAUCUAUCUGCAUAUUUAUUUAUUUAAAGGCCUCUGCUGACUCCCUCCUGUCGGUGUGGCGCAUGGGAAGGAGGACCGGCCAGGUGCUCCACCCCGCCCCACUCUUCAGGAGAGUCACCACACUCAACCUGUGGGUUGUGAGGAGGUGGGAGAAAGAGUGCCUUGGCCUUCUGAAGGCCUGGGGUGGCCAUUGUCCUUCCUGCAGCUCUGUCACUUCCAGAGGCCUUAGGCACUGGUGCAGGGGCCACCCUGAUGCCCAGCCCUGGACCGGCUGCACGAGUGCACAGCGGUCAGAGACCUGCCAGGGGCUCCUCCCCAGGGCGCGCUGGACCCAGCAUGGGCUACCCCGUCCCCCCAGAAGAGAGCCAGGAGAAGACACAAGGCAGGGUGGAACUCCCUUCACACUGGGUUCUGGGGCCUGUCUUCUAGCCCUGAGCCGUGGUCCUGUCCCCACCUGCUGACAGGGGCCCUCCUCCAUGGCUCAGCACACUGGGCAUCCCGCAGGUGGCCAUAGCAGACUCUGGGUCCUUCCUACUGUGUCUUCUAGACCUCAGACUGGGCUGCCCUCAGAGAAGUGUUGCUGGGGAGGCCAGAGGGGUACAGUGACUGCCACACAGGAGGUGCAGGUCACGAUGUAACUUCCAUGGAGUCCAAUAGCUACUCCCCCUGGCAUGAGUUGACCAGAACCUGCAUGUGACCACCUUGACCUUCAGCAUGGUGGUCUUUGUUUCAGACAGAUAUCAGAAUCCUACAGGGUCAUAGAACAUGAGUGAGCGUGGCUUUGCAGGUGACAGAGGGGAGGGUACUAGAGCCUGUCGCAGUGGAAGUGGGGGGGAGGGCAGGUUCCAGGCAUGGAUUCGCCAGCUGCCGACACUCCUGGAGAGCCCAGCAGGAGUUCUGGGCUGGGAUUGCAGCCCUGCCCUAUGUUGUCCCUGUGUCCUAUGCUGAUUGGUGUCUGAGGAGCUGCCUUGGCAGGACAGUGCGUGAUCUGAGUGGGUCCAUCCCAGGGGAAAUGGGGAGGAGGCAGAGGCCCACCUGGGAUGCCCACACCCAGUCAUUUCCACACUGGCUACCCUAUGUCCUGUCCCAGGACAACGGCCAGGGACAGGGACCAGCCAUUGUUCAGGGCCAGGUCCCAGAGAAGCUGGCCACACUCUGCCCACACUGUUGCCCUUGGGCCCUGCAGCAAAGGCAGAUGCACCAAGCUGGCUAGGCUUGUCAGAAGGGGUCCUUUCCCAGGGUGGGAGAGGACUUUGUGCCCUCCACAGAAGCUCAGAGAGACCAAGUCCAAGUCCUUGGGGACAGAGGGGCUGGACUCUGUAGCUGGGGAACUCUUUCUCAUCCUGAUCAGUGCAGAGGCUCAGAUGGAGGCCUGGUGACUGCCCUUCCCACCCCGCUCCCACGGAAAGCCCGGAAGUGUUCCUAGAUUGUUCCAGCAGAGAAAAUGUGGUUAGUUGAAGGGAAAGGCACCAUUUUCUUGAUUUCAAAAUUUGGUGGAUUAAAAAAAUCAAUAGAGAAUAAAGGCAAGUUGAGAAAACCCCUGAAGCCCUCCCCCUGGUCCCUCAGCUGGGGUCCCGGGGUGGGGUCUGUGCCCUGUUUGUGUGGUGUCCUGGCAGUUCCUCUCUGAGCAUCAGUCUUCAGUGGUCCUGUCCUGCAGCUGGACACUGGGUCUGCAUGGGCUCCACAGCCCCAGACAAGAGGGUGGACUUCGUGUUCAUGUGCACAGGGCUUAUUUUCUCUGGCCACAAUGGUGGCCCCGGAAGCUGGGAAGUCACAAUGUUUUGUGUCCAAGCUCUGCAUCUGGGCCUGGGAUGCAGCCCUCCUGGCUGUGGUGUGGCUGUGGAGUGGGGCCUCGCGGAGACUCCCUCAGUCCUGGCCCUGGCUCAGUCAGAGUCUGACUCCAGUGGCUCUGGAGUUGUCGAGCCGAGGCCUGCUGCCUGCAGUCCCUUCUGGUCUUGAGCUGAGGCAGCCUACAGGGGCCAGGGACUGUGGGGAGAAGCCCAGGUCCUGGGCACGGGGUAAGCAAGAGUCCGUGAGUGACAACAGGGCCUGUGUCUGUCAUCAGCAGAGUCCCCAGUCCCCCUUUGUGGAGCUGGCUGAUGAUGAGAAGAUCUUUAACGGCGGCGACAACACGUGGCAGGGCCAGGAGCAGGCUCUGCUUCCAGACGUCACCGAGGAGGACUUGGAGGCCAUCCGGCUGCGAGAGGAAGCCAUCCUGCAGGUGGAGGUGGGUCUCUGCGAGGGUAGUGUGGGUGUCCAGGCUCACCCCAGGCUCCCUGCCCACAGAGGUGGCUGGGGCUGCAGUCACUGGUAGCCUGGGUGGGAGGUGGGGCCAGAGUCCAGGCAGCCAAGCCCACUUCCUCCUCCUGGCCUUGGUGGGAGCCAGCCCUGCACUGGGGCUGUGAAGGCACCACCCACUGCUUGCUGUGCUGCCCAUUCAGGCUUCCAGGAGGUCCCUAGCACUGUGGAAGGAACCUUGCUGCCUGGGGCCCCCGAUGGCAGUUUUUGAGAGCUCUAGCCCUCUGUCCAGGAUAGCCUGUGGCUGAGGAUGCUGCCCCAGGUGGCAGGGGAGCCCAGGGCCCAUGCAGGGUGGGUCAGCUGCUGCGUGCCCUUGGUUUUUGAAGACCAAGGACUCUUGGCUGGCCUACCCGAUGCUGAAGUGUGUGCAGAAUGCAGCUUGGCAGGGUGUGGCUCCACUGGGCCUAGGUCUGUGCCCAGUGUGCUCUCCUCCCUCUCCUGGGACUUCCUUGUCUGCAGGGGCUCUGGGGCCUGCAGCUCCCAGGGGCUGGGCUUCUGAAGUUCAAGGCCCCUGAGAGCAGGUGGUAGAACAGGAACCUGGGCGAGUUAGUAAGCCAAGUCACUGGCCCAGGCCUGUCUCUGCCUCUGCUUCCCUGACGGUUAGCAGGGCUUUCUCUCUCCUUCCAGAGACACCCCAAGUGGCCCUGGCUUGUUCCCCUUUCUUCCUGGGCCCUCACUUCUGGGCUACUCCUCCCUGCCUCUGCUGCACCCCACUCCCCAGGCUGGUGGAGGAGAGCUUAUGUCCCAGGACCCCUGCUGAAUGUGUCCUUCCUGCAGAAGCCGUCCCCCACUCCAGCUUCUCAGAGAGGGUCGCUGCCUGCCCCAGCCUGGCCCUGGUGGGAGAUAGCUGGGCUUAUCUCUGGCUAGAUGGAGAUGUCCGGAGAACACUGAACACCCGCAGGGGAUUUUGUCUCUGCUGGAACCGCAAGGGCCUCUUACCCUGGAGGAGCUAAGAUAGGGAUGCGGGGUCCCAGAAAGUCUGGGAGGGUUGUGGGCCUGCCCCCGGCAGCUCUAAAACCCAACACCUAUCCGAGGACAGCCCUUGGGAACCACUGGCUUAGCUUGUCCCUUGAGCACAGAGUGGCUCUCAGAAGGCGGAGGGAGCAGGGAGACACCGCCAGCUGCUGAGUCCAGGGAGCAGAGCCGGAAGGAGCAGCAUGUGCUGCCACAGGUUCCACGGCCCCCACGGAGACCCCUGGGGUGUGGAGCCAUACCAGGCAGCCGAAGCUGAGCUCAGGGAAGGGUGGCCCUGGGCCAUGGGCCUCCUGGACCUGACAGCAGAGGCGAAGAGGCGGGUCGUGGGAGCUGCUGUUGCCCUUUCACUGGGAGGCCUCAUCCCGAGCCUGCAGGUCCUGCUCCCAGAGCCCGAGCAGAGGCCUAAGGGCCACCUGGGACCUGUGUGACCUUUUUUGAUUGCUCUGGGUGGACAGUGACAGUCAAGUGGCUCAUGCCACUGCAGUAACCCCAGGGUCAGGUUCAAAAUCAGAGGCCUUGGCGGCCCAUGUGCCAGGCCCUUCUCUGUGGGACGGGAUGUGUUUUCCGGUUUUGUAGGGUGUGUGCAGAAUGGGGCUUUCCCAGGGGUGACGGGCCCAGCUGAGAGAUGGAGGGACCCAGCCUGGGGCUCUGAGCUGGGGCUCUGGACUGUUCUAGAACAAUGGUUUUAAUGCAGGAUUAAUAGGAGGGUCUGGGCCUGUGUGCAGACCAGAGGCCCUCGCGGGUGGCUGGGGCUGGUAUGAUCCCAGUGCCUCUCUCAGCUCAACAGCAUGCUGGGGCUCAGCUGGGGAGCCUCUUGCACAGACCUCGCCUUUCAGCCUCAGUUUCCUCCGCAAUGCCUAGGAGCCUGGCCCAGCACACAGCUAGUCCCGAGUGCCGGGCAGAAGGGCAGUGGGUGGCAUGUGUCAUGCGGACCACGGUCACUCACAGAGAGCACAAUACCUGUUGUCAUUAGCCUUUGAAAACCUUCCCCCAGGUUGCAGUGGGUCCUGUGACCACAGCUUGCUGGGAUCAGGGAGGGUGGGAGCCAGCCAGCCAGCCUCUAGGGAGUAAUGUGACUGUAGCAGAUGGCCCACACCUUGGGGGCCCCAUGGGCCAGUUGCUCUGGAGUUAUGGCAAAGCAAGGCCUGUGUGCGCAGGGGGGUGCCUGGGAGCAGCCUCAGGAGGGCAGAGUGGUGCCUUCCUCUCCCUGCACAGCGUACUUCCACUGGAGUUGGGACUCCCCCCUUUCACAUCCCCUGGGGGUUUGGGAACAUUUUGGAAUCACUGACUGAGACUUGAGGUCCAGGAGCCCCUUUGUGGUCUUCCCUUCAGAACUGACCUUUUUGGGUAAACAUGGGGGUGUGGAUGGGGAGACUGAGGCUAGGGUGGAUGACUGAUGUCGCAACAGUGGGUUAUUGUGUCAGAUGCCCUCAUGCCACCACCUUGCUUUAAGGUAAGUCCUUGAGGGCAGGCCACAAAGGGAUGCCUGAACCCCAAGUCCCACCUCUAGAGAUCUGAAGGUAGUCAUGCAAAUUCCAGAGCCCCUCGGGGAUGUGGGAGGGUUCUGGGUGAGUGGUUGAUGAGAAGUCCUGGAUUGGGCCUGGCGCCGGGCACUGUGAGGGGGUGUGCAGAGCUGUCUGUGCUGGGAGCCCCCAUUCAGUCAAUUGGUGGCCCACCUUGUAUCCUUUCCCUCGUCCCCCUCCCCAGAAUCGUCCUGCAGGGCUUGGCGUGUAUGCCUGGCCUCAGGCUAGAUCCUCCCAGCAAGCCAGGGAGCCUCUUUGUUUUCAUUUGUUUGUUAAAUAUUAUUGUUAAAUAUUAUUAAACUUAAAAAAAUAAGUUUAUAUUUAAAGAAAAGCUGCAAAAUAGCGCAUUAAGGACCUGGACUUUCAUUCAGCUUUUCUUAGUGUUGUACUGUAGUAUAGCUAUCAAAACCAGCCGGUUAAUGUUGCCACCAUGGUCCAACUACUCCCCAGACUGUCUCCAGGUCCCCUGGUUCUCCCACUUAAGAGUUGUCUCCUGUUCCAGGACCCAGUCCAGAGUUCCUGUUACAUUGAUUCGUCCCGUCUCUGGUCUCCUCCAGUCUAUUACAGUUCCUGGGUCUGUCUUUCAUGACUGAAGCUCUUGAUGGUGCUGAUGAGUAGUUUUGUAGGCUGGCCCUCUUGGAGACGACACAUUCUUUGCAAGAGCCUUUCUCUCCUUCUUGUACAACAGUGGACUUAAGAAAAACAUUAAAACAGUGCUGGACUCAGGCAGAGUCCACCCAGUGCAGGAAGAGACUCGGACCCAGGCAAGAGCCCUGCCGUACCUGGGUGUUCACAACCUGCUCACCUGCUUGGCCUACGAGCUGUGCCUGGCCUUCUCCUUGUGACUGAGGCCUCUUCUAAACAGGCCCCUGUCCAGCUGGGUAAGCAGGAGUAGGCUAGGGCACCACUUAUCCACCCUGCAUGCAGCUCCUCGAGAGAGAAUGUCAUCCACUUCCCAUGACGGGGGCUACGAGGUGGAACCCAGUUUGACCCCUGACCUGGAGGCCUGUCUCUGGAGGACGCAGUACCCAGCAUUUGAACCUCUACCCCAGGCUGUCUGCCUUUUCCUAGGCAAGGCAUAGGCACCUGGGUGUUGGGCCAGGCAUGCCCCAGGGCCCUGUACUACACCCACUGCUUGCCUGUUCCUACCUUUAGACUCUUAUGAUCUGAGGCAGCCUAUCUCUGGUCUCCUACCCUAGGGUGCCUCUCUGGAUUUGGUCCCAGGAGGGAGCCCCACCCUCCCAGGACCUAGGGUAUUGGAUGCUGGCAGCUCCCGGCCUCCUGGCUAUCAGCCUGGCUGAACUGUGAAGAUGGAGAAGCUGUCCAUCUCAUUAUCAAGAGCAUGAACUUUAAUUGUGUUUGAGCAGCGCGAGGCCAGGUGUGGAAGAAGAGGAAGCAAGAUCGAUGGACCAUGGCGAGAGGUGUCUGAGUACCCAAUUAGGUCAUGUCCAGGAUUUGCUGUCCCUCUCCAGGGUGGGCAGCCUUGUCCCCAGGGUUGUCUUCUGCCCUGGCAUUCUGGAUUCUGUCUGUCUACUCAGGCCUGUCCAAGAGCUCCACAGCUGAGGGACUCUGUGCAUGCUGCUGACCAGCCCACCUCUUUUUGCUCAGCCAGAAGUGAGUUUGUGCCCAGGGUGGCCAUCUCCACCCUCUGAGGCCUGGCCUGAAGACCCCAAGAGGAGGUGGGGGGCCUGCAGCCACACAGUAAGGCCCCUGGCAAGUGGUGGCAAGUCAAGACUCCGACAUCCUCAUGCCACUCCUUCCUUAUCCCUCUCUGAGUCCUGGCUUCCUAGUUGUGCUGGAUGAGACCGUGGAUUCAACGGGCUGUGAGGCGUUCUGCAAAUGGACAUCCCUGUGGCAAGGGUGAAUGGCUUUGGGAACCUCUCUGUUGUCCCGGUUGCUAAUGCUGAACCUGGUUGGUCCUGAAGCACUGCCCUUCUCAGCCCUGCGGGGGCCCCCAACACCCCUGGCUCUUGUGUCUCCUUCCUGUAGGGCCUUGCCUCUUCUCUGCUCUCCCUCUGGCCAUCCCCUCAGUUCUCUGAGGACCCGUGUGGCUCUCGGUCCUGUCUGGUCCCUGGAGUCAUUCAGUCCUCCCUCCUAUCCCCUCCUGUGGCUCCUCUGGGUGGGUGGCCCACCCCUGUCCCCCAGGUGGGCCCUGAAUGACCUUUCCCUGUUUGGCCAAGAUGUGAUAGGGUGGCUGUCACUGCAAAGGAAACCCAGUGCCAGGACUCAGCCAACAUGCACGUUCCUUCUUGCCCUUUAGUCCAGCCUCCCACCUGCUGAGGAGCCCCAUGGAACUGAAUUGUGCUAAAACUCAGUGGCAUGAAAAAGCCACCAUGGAGUUCAACAUCAGGAUGUAGACACAGCUCAUUGGGGUUGGGUAGUAUCUACUCUGCUGUCUGGAGCCUCCAGUGGGAAGACUUGAGAGGCCAAGGGUGACUUGGACAGCUGGAGGCUGAAGACUCUUCCACUCUGCCUCUGAUAACGUGGGCUGGGAUGUCUCAGGCCAGGCUCAGCUGCACUGUUCAUUGGAUUGUCUCCAUCUGGCCACUUUGCACAGCUUGGGCUUUCCCACAACGUGGCCGCCCCACGUGCUCAGACUUCUCGUGUGGCCCUUCAGUUCUUCUUGUGUGUGUUGCAGUCAUGGAAGGUACACAGUGUCACUUCCCUUGGUGCUUUGUAGUUAAGUGAUCGAAACCUGCCUGGUUCAAGGGGAGGGACCUGGGUCCCACCACCAGUGACAGAAGCAUCCAGGGAUCCAAGGCCAUGGUUUAAGCCCCCCAAGGACCUUAGAAUAAUCUGGUCCCUGUGCUGGUUACAGUGGUCAAAAUUGCUUGCCUCAAAAUUUAGGGAUGAAAUCUGGUUACUGUGCUUGCAGGCUCAGUGAGUCAGGAUUGCAGCAGGGCCAAGCCACAGCUUCUCUGCACCUUGAAGCCUUGAGGUAAGGCUUGAACCCAUGGCGACUGGUUCUAGCCCCUCCAGCAUCCUGGCCCUGCUGCCUGUUGGUGGAGGUUGACCUGGGGUCUCGGCAGGACUCCAUACCAGUCUCUUCUAGUGUCGUGUUUCGGGAUCACGUCUUGACAAGGAGCCAGCCCUGUUUUGUUUUCUGGCCUUGCAGAUUGUGCAGCAUCUCUGCCAGGUUCUGUCUGUCCAGGACCAGGAGAUGGACCAUCAUCCCCAGUUGGCAAGCCAUGCCAGUGUCACUUUGCAGGACGAGUGAGUGGGUGGUUCGUAUCACUGUCUCUGGGAGAUGCAGCCCUCUGUGCUUGUCCCCCAGCAGCCUGGCCUCCUCCUGGCCCUGGGACCUGCUGGACCUGCUUCCACCCUUUGCACUUGACCCUUGGCCUGAAGCCUUGCUCCGUACACUGGAGCAGCUCCCUUCACCAGUGGGCUCAGACUAGAGUGCUGCCCGCCUCCGGAGCCCACCCUCCUGAGCUCUGUGGGACGUUCUUUGAUUGCCUGGGUACUAUUACUGCCUUUUGUUGGAGCAUAAGCCCCAUGGAGUCUGCAGUUUGGCAUUUCUGGUUAUUGUUUUCCUGGCACGGCAGAGGAUCCUGACACCAGGGGUGCCAGUGACCAUUUGUGUGGAAACAUGCAGGUGGGUGGAGGUCUGAGUGCCAGGUAGGUAGGUGAGGGUGUCUGUGGGAACUCUGGGAGUGGGUGCUGCUGCUGCUGUGGGCACAGCUUGGGCCCACACAAGACCCCUGGGGGUGGGUGUGCAGGGGCUGAGGUUAGCAAAGGAGGAGCAGAGGCUCAGGGGUCACAGCUCAUGUGUGGACGAGCUCACGGGACUCUCGGCCAGUUGGCCUGGCUUCAGAACAGGGCUGUGCCGCUGCGAUGCUCUCACAGCUGCCUCGUGGUUAGUCCCAUUUCAGAGGAGGAAAGAGCCAGCCCACGAGGCCAGCCACCCCUAUGGUGUGACUUGACCCCUGGCCACAGGUGCUGCACCAGUCUGCAGGAUAGCAGACUCUGACUUGUCCCUGGGCCAUGAGGUUGAAGAGAUGGACACGUGGCCCUGGGCCACUGCGCAUAUGUGACAGCCCUGUGGCACUGUCCAGCUCCCUGGCCUCUGCCCAGCCUACUCUGCCCACUGGCCAGAUGCUGCAUGUGCUGCGUCCCCUCACCUUGCCCGUCUCACCUGCUGGAGUGUCCUAGCUGUCCUGUCACCCAGCUCAGGUGCAGGCGCUGAGCAUAAUACCAGCAGCAUGUUGCCGUGGCUACCUGGCAGGCCCAGGAGGGCGGAGGACCAGAUGAGGAGGCUGCCUAGAGCCCCAGCCGCCCUCCCUGCACUGGGCGCACACAGCUGGUGGCAGGGGUGUGAUUGGUGUGGCUACUGUCAGCUAUGGGUAGGUGAAUAAAAUAAGUAAACAGAAUUUGACUAUUCCGUUAAGUGCAAUUGUGGGUCGAUGGUGCCAGGAUUCUAACUGAGGAGAGAGUAUGUGAUUGAGACAAGUGCAGUGGUGUUCUCUUGUCCGUAAAAGCAGAGGAAACAUACCACACGUGUGUGCAUGAGCACACACAACACACAUAUGCCGAGGUUUUAUUAUGUCCGUGUGAGGUGGCUCCGUGGUAGCAGUGAGGGGAGAUUCUAUGAGAGCACUCAGGAGUUCUGGGUUUAGAGGAAUCAUGAUUCCAGCCUUUACCAAGUGCUGGUGUUGGCCAGUUUCCCAUGGCCUCCUGCCUCCAGCUGCCUGUGUCAGCAUGUGCAGCUACAGCACCUGGCCGCUAAUCCUGCCCUGGGCCUGCUUGAUGCCCCAGAGGGCUCCCUCCUGGGCAGCCCCUGAUCCAGGUGGGAGGGUGUUAGGGCUUGUAGGUCCCUUGUCCUUAGGCCCAGUAUCGACCUGUGUCACUCCAGACCUCAAGGCAGACUUCUGCCUGGGAAUGGCUCCCACCCUGUCUCCAGGUGUAUGUGGGGGCUGGGCCUCACUGGGAUCUGCCCAAUGCCCAUGUGGUGAUGGCAAUCAGGGGGAUCCCUUCUGGACCAGCUGCCCACCUCAGAUCGCCCUGGCACCAUGGGCCCACUAGAGACGCACGGUCUAGGUCCCACCUGCCUGGUUCUGCUAUCACUGCAGGUCCAUUUGGGGCCCCUCAUCCCUCUGUUUCGCACAUGGCAUUGGGUGCUGGAGGGGGAGACGUAGCUGGGAAGCCAUGCCUUAUUCCUGGAGAAGGGGAUGAAAGCAAAUGUUCACCUUCCUGAGGGAGCUCCUGCAGAGGGCCUGGGGCCUCGGGGCACCCAGGGCCACAGGGGCUGUCUUCAGGGCACGGGUGCCCAUUCCUGUUCAUCCUGGAGGCCAGAUGGGGCUCCUCCGAGAGCUCGUGUGGCUGGGUUCACCUGUGCUCUGAGCAGCACCAGGAGAUCCCCACAGCCACGGUGGUGUCCUGGCCUCCUGGAGGUGGCCUGGGUUGCAGGCCUCACGUGGGGACAAGGGACAAGGAGGGGUCUGUGGCCUCAGGCUCACCAUGCCGUGCCUGCAGGCCUCUCUGUGUCAGUGGAGGUGGGACCUGAGGCGCCCCGGCUGCUCUGCUGGCCCCAGGGCAGAACCGAGGUUUCCUUUUGUCCAAGAUGGUUGGUGUGCAUUGAUCAGGGAGCCCCACGGAGGGUCUGAGCAGUGUGAGCAGGCCUUCUGUGUCCCAUAGAGAAGGCGGGGGACGUGGGACUGGCCUUGCUCCUGCACCCGCCGCUGCCCUGCCUGCUGAGCAGCAUGGUGAGGAGAAGGGAGCCCGGGAGGAAGGGGCUCUUCCUGUGAAAGCUCACGUGGGACUCCAGGCCGGCCAGUAGAACAUCUGGUGUGGCCCUGACGGCAGGGGUCAGAGCCCUUGCUGGGGCAGUCUUGGUCACUCUUCUGGAAGCCACUGCCUUCUCGCAGUCUGUGUCCCCCGCACCAGCCCUGGGUGUCUGUGUGUGUCCCCGCACUACUGUGGUACAAAUUAACUUCCCAUGUGUCCGAGCUCAUGCCAGUGGACAGUUGUCACUGUUCCCAUGCCCCUUUCUGCUGAGUUCAGCAGGAAUAGACUGAGUCCUUUGCUGUGCCUGUCCUCUGUCCUCUGUGACAGAGCUUGCUGGGGCCCUGACAGGUGCUGUGUGUGUGGUUAGUUGGGCCCGUGGGGACCUGGCUGGGGCACCCACAGCCCGUGAUAGACAGCGAUGGCCAGGCAGUGGCAGCCAACAUGCAGCCAGACCUAGCCACAGCUGAGGGCACCCCGGGCUGUGCAGAAGGCCCACAGCAGCCGCAGCACACCCACUGUGAACUGGAGAGCAGCCUCAGCCACCCCACCUCCAGUGAGCUCACGACCCACAGCGAAAGCCCUUGUGCCCUGUUGGUGCGUCAGGGGUUGGACCCGAGGACGCCCAAGCUCGUCCCCCCUGCUGAAGGAGUCGGUGCUCCCAGGCAGAGAACAGCUAGUGCAGUGAGCAUGUGGAGCUGUGGGGAGAAGCAGGCUGGGCUGCGGGAAGGACAGCUGCUCUGCUUCCACCUGCCAGUAGCCUGGGCCUCCUGGGCCGUGGGGUCCCUAGGCCUGUGGUCCUGCCCUUGAUUCUCCUCCCUGCCCCUGAUUUUCUCCAUGUCCCCUCACUAAGGCUGGGGCCUAUAGGCUGGGCAGGGGCUCUGAGCCCUACCUCCUGCAGGACAGCCCGGCACCCUGAUACCAGUGACCCUCUGCAGCUCCUGCUCGUGGAAAGAAGCGCUCGUGCGUGCACGUGAAGCCUGUCCCUUCUGGCCCCUGCACCAUGGGAAGUCCUGGGCACCGCCAGCUCCCUGUGGGUGACUGAUGUGUAGGUAGGGACUGGGCUUGGGUUGGCCUUGGGUUUGGGUGCUGGCUCUAGCAUUUCCUAGCUGUGUGUCCUAUGUAAGCUGCCCUCUGUGCGACAGCUUGCUCCCCUGCCCUCUCUGUGGAGUGAACUGCCUGGUGGGGAGAGGCGUGACUUGCAGCCUGUGGAGCCCAUAGGAAGGCCUCAGGAGUCUGCCACCCAGUGUAGCCAAGGCCGGGCUUGGGGCGCGGGCCUUGGCAUGGGCAGUGACCAGAGCCAGGCUUGGUGCUUGGCAGGGUCAGCGCCUGCUCUUUGAAAGAGCUGUGUCAGUAACCUGGAAAUCUGCGGAGGUGGGAUCAGUCUGCGGCCUGGCUGAACAAGGAGCCCUCAGCUUGACAUUGACGUCUCCAUCCUAGGCUGCACUCACAGCCAGGAACCCCAUUUCUAGAGCAUGUGGUUGUAAGGAGAAGCCUAGAAACUGUCUGGGUCUGGGGCUAGCCAGCACCAUCCUCCUGACUGGCACCCUCUGGGUGCCACAGACCCUAGCUGAGCCGAGAGCCCAGCCCCAUGCUCCUCAGCACCCUCCCGGCCAUGGCCAUUCCCACAGAGCAGCCACACACCCCUGCUCCAUAUUUAAGCCCAGUAAUUGAAUUGCAAUUGAUAGUACAUGUCGGUUUAAGAUCAUGCUAAUUGCUUCAUUUCCCAGAACACUCCUAAAAAGAAAAUGAAUUUCCCUGUAAUAUUUUCAGUGGGGUGAAAUGACCCUUGUGGAAAUCAAUCCUGGCUCUAGAAUGAGCUGCAGAGUGAGUGGGCGUGCUGGGGCGGGGCUGUGGCUCCCCUCCUGCAGCCUCAGCAGGCAUGAGGAGCUUUCCCGGCCUGAGAGUAAACCCAGCCUCGUGCCAGGCACCGUGUGAGGCUUAGCAGGGCUGUGCCUGUGUAGGCUCUGUGAGCUGGCCUGACUCGGAGGGGACUGGUCUCCCAGGGUCUCAGCACUGGCUAGAGGAGAAACUGUCCCUGUGUGAACGUCAUUCAGGAAUGGUGGGGUGUCCAGGAGUGGGCACAGGGGACAGAAUUCCUACCCGGAAAGGCCAGGGUGAUCCUGGGGCCUCUUGAGUCCCCCCUUCCUCCCUGUCCAUUGGGGCUAGGACUUCCCUUUUGGUUGGUGCCAGCUCAAAAGUGGCAGUGUGCACCCUUCUCUUGACACAGUCUGAUGUAAAAGGUCAUGGAGGUAUGGCCAUGUCCCUUACGAUCCUCAUGGCCACUUUGCUGGGCAGAAGUCAGGGUGAAGCCGGACAGUGUAAAGGAGGCAAAGGACCAGCGUAACAUGCAACAUGGAGGGACCAAGUCCUCUGGCCCUGGUGUCCACUCCCUUGCCCGGUUCUCCAGCUUCCCAGAGCCUCAGUGCUUGGAUGUCAAUGGGGCUGCCGCCCAUGGCCUACUCGACCUUCAUCCACCACCGGCCCACCUGCCCACCCAUCCUAUUCAUCUAUCCCACUCUGCCAAUUUGCUGAGCAGCACCUGUGUGUUGGCCCCUCCUUGAUACACAGAGGGGCAGGUGUGCUGUGUCCCAGGUGAGUGGGGAUGGGGUAUCCAUAGGAGUGCAGCCCUGCAGGUGGUGUGGCCAAAGUGCUCUGUGCUGGACACUUUCUGGCCUGCUUCUAUCAGGCUUCCACCAGUGUUGGGGAUAUGAUGUCCUGCACUAGACCACACGUGCCCAGGCAGACCCUGGUGCUCGUGCAUGCAUUGAGAAGCUUGUGGCACUGGGGUGCUUGGAGAGCUUGGGGCUUGGCCUGAGAGCAAGAUAGCGGAGCAUUCAGACUCUGCCCCACCUCUGACCUGGGGCAGCCUUGGCCUGAACUUACCUUUUCUGGGCCUGACUCUGCCCAUUCUGGGCCCAGAUUGCUCCUCUGACAGGAAGAGUACAGACCAACUGAUCACUAGUUCCCAUCUGGCCCAGGGCUCUCCAUAUACGGUGUCCUUAGUCUCUGUGCCUGUAGCACGCUGCCCCUAAUGCAGCUCCAUCCUGUUUCCUCAGAGCAAUUUGCUGGACGUGAACCAGAUCAUCAAGGACUUGGCCUCCAUGGCGUCGGAGCAAGGAGAUGCCGCUGGUGGGUACCCACUCUACCCUCAGGCCACGUAGCCCCAGCUGGCUCUUCCCCCAGGUGUGGGCACAGCUGCCUAAAGAUGACGGAGGCCCAGAAUGGCUUCUGCCUGGCUCUCCUCCUGCUCCACCUCUACCCUGGGCCUUGCACUGACUAGGGACUCUCUGGAGUGAAGGCCAGCUGCCUGGGACAGGUGACUGCAGCAUGGCCCUGAGGAUACGGAGGGUGGGGGCCUAGAGCCCCUUAGAGUCUGGUGCUGUCUCCAGUGACUGUCAGGAGCCAUGUGUGCCUCUGGGAAAUGGGUGUGCCUGAGCUGGGUGGAACAGGGGCAGUGGCUGGGCCUGCGGGCCUGGCCAGGGCAUGGUAUCCCCCAAACCCCUCACUCCAAAGGAACUGGGCCAGCUCUGCCAAUGGGUCAAAGGUCAAAGGCCCUUGUCCCUGGAGCUGCCCUGCUUCUCAGGAGGAAAUAAGAAGCAAGGCCAAGGCCGAGGCCCAGGCCUGUCCCUUGCUGGUGAGGGUUGCUGGGGUCGUGUGGAGCAGGGAGGCUUGAGGGUCAUGUCACAGUGUCCUCACCCACUGCGAGAGAGGGGCCUUCUCUAACAGAAGGGACACAGACCAGAGAGGCCUGGUGGCAUCCGCCCAGGCCCUCUGCUACCCCAGCCCUUCUGCUCUGCCUUGCUGUGGGGUCACCUUUGACCUCCCCAGAGAGGACCUCCCUGUCUUCCUCUGUGCUCCACAAGUUCUGGCCCCAGCAACUGGCCAUUUAUAUUUGGACAAUUUUUUUCGGGGUGGGGGGGGUACCACAGAUUGAAUUUAGGGCCCUCAACUACUGAGCCACGUCCCCAGCCCUAUUUUGUAUUUUAUUUAGAGACAGGGUCUCACUGAGUUGCUUAGCGCCUCGCCGUUGCUGAGGCUGACUUAGAACUUGCCAUCCUCCUGCUUCAGCCUCAUGAGCCGCUUGGAUUACAGGUGUGCACCACUGCACCUGGCACACUGGACAAUUUUAAGUGUUCAGACCUUCCUCUCCGCUGGGCUCUGUGCCUGCCUAGUUAGGUCUAGGGCAUUUUGAACAUGAAGUGGUUACUCUGAUCACUUUCCUUCUGGACUGAGCGAGGUGCUGGCUCCAUGGGUGGCCUCCUUGCUUGUGCAGAGCCCUGGGGGCACAGGGACACUGGUGUCAUUACCCAGUGUGGUAGAGGCCCUGUGCCCACCUGAUUUGGGGCUGGGGUGCACAGGUGGGGACUUUAAGGGCUUGCUCACAUGUGGGCCAUCCUGUUGCCCCAGGGGUGCCAGCCUUCUCCGUAGCUGCGGCCACCCAGAGUUCUGGCCCCAGCUGCAAGGUGGAGACGCCCUGGCCAGGGCAAUGGUCCCCUCGGCUUGGUUGCCCUCCAGGACCCAGACUCCUGCACUUACUCAUCUGCUUCUUCCAUCCCUGACAGCCAUCCCCUCACCCGGGCCUGUGCCUCUAACGAGGAGCAAGCGCCCCGAGCUGGGUGGGCCCUGGCACCCUUCUGGAGCUCUGCUGCUCCCAGGUCGGUGGAGGCCUGAGCCAGGAGCCUAAGCCUGGCAGCUGCCCUCCCUGUUGCUCCUGGACUCACCCUGUACCCCUUCAGAGCCUGGGCUCCCAGCAGGGCCUGCUCUGGGCAUGGCACUUGCUGAGCUGCCUCGUCACUGCUCCCAGGACCCGCCCUAUCCCUCUUCCCGUCUCCUUGCCUUCUGUCUGCCUCUAAAGUGGCCACCGCCCACUGCCCCCUGGGGCUGGCUGGCUGGGCUGGAAUGUCAGAGUGUGUACAAUGGCUUGUCCACCCUAAGGCCACCCAGUCCCCGUAAUGGACCCAUGGGAGAGCUGUGGGGAGCGGAACAAGCCAGGGCUGACCUGCACAUGGGCAGGGGAGUCACCUAGAUAGCUGGCAGGCAGGAGCUUCAAGAGUCGCCAGAUCCCCAACUGGUGGGUGUGGGUCACCUGUAUGUAGGACACUGAUGUGGGGACCUGUGAGGACCAGGACCACAGGCCUGGUGGCACGCUGUCCACAGUCUCUGCCUAGUGCUCAGCCUCUGGUGCCUUUCCAGGGUCCAGCAGCAGGAAGGCCACCAGCCGGCAGACCUCCAGCCCCGAGCCAGCAGAGGCAGCCCUGCUACCAGGGGUGGGGCUGGGCACCACACCCCUGCGGCCCAGCAGCCACUCCCGCACCAAGACACGCAAACCCAACUUCAGUCCCCAGGAGACAGAGGUGCUGGUGCGGAGGGUGGCACGCCACUACCCACUGCUGUUCGGGGCACUGCGGAGCACACCUGCUCGGAAGCACCACGUGUGGAGCAGGAUCCUACAGGCUGUGAAUGCGCUGGGCUACUGCCGCCGUGACCUGGGUGACCUCAAGCACAAAUGGAGGGACCUACGAGGGGCCGUGCGCAAGAAACUGGCAGAGAGUCCGGCUCCUGGAUUCAUCCUCACACCUGUGGAACGCAUGGUGGCUGAGACCUUCUCGACCCCAGCCUCCCAGGGCAAGAGCCAGGCAACAAGUAAGUGGGCCCCUCCCCACAGCCCACCCCUGGCCUAGCCUGGCCUGGCCUGGCCUGGGCAGUGAGCUGGCUGGCUUCCGGUGCACAGCCCCCAAAGAACGAGACUCCAGGGGAGUGCUGGGGGCCUGAGGAGACGGCUCAUCCCCCUCCCGGCCCCUCGGCUCCUGGGUAGGAAACCCAAGGCCCAGGCCCAGGCAGAGGCCUGCUCAUUUGGGGAGGAGGGGUCAGGUUCAUGCUGGCCCUGAGCUCACGGUCCACUGGGACUUUCCCCAGCCUUGGCAUAGUACAGCAAGGGGACCCUCAAAUCCAUCUCAAAAACUGAAGUCACUCAAAGCCCCUGGGUCUCAUGUGGCCUGGGGGGUCAGUGCCUUUGCCACCACCACUGGCGGCAGCAGCUUGGGGAGCUUAGACCUGCUGCUGGGCUCAGGGCUCCACGGCAGCUGCCACCUUGAGCCAUGGCCACAGCAGGGAGCUGAGUGCCUCCGUCCCUUCCCUGGUAUCUAGAGAGGACACUGGGGCCCCAUGGCCCCGUUUCCCCGUCACUCUAGAGAGACAAGUUCCAGGAUGGUGAAGGCAUCCCUUAGAUAUACAGGGCCCUACUCUGUGUAUCUAAGGGAGGUGCAAAGACUGAGGUCCAGGGGCCUGGCUGAGCAGCCCAGGCCCAAAGCCCAGGCACAGUCUCCGAGGCCCCGCUCCUCUCUGCCAUGUCUGCUGCGUCUGGUGUGGUGCGGCUGGGAGGCCUCUUUGGCCCCAGGCCAUUGUCCACUCUGUCUUCUCAGGAGUGCUCAUGACAAAGGUCAGGGCAGUGACUGUCCUUAGGCCACCAAGUGUUAAUAGCAGAGGAACCAAGCAAGGCAGCAAGCUUGGGUGGCCACAGGCUUGAAGAUGUGGCUGUGGCUGGGAGGAAGGAGGCUGCCCUGCAUAGCUCCCUCCUCCUCCAAGCUGGACCAGGCCUGGAGUGAGAGUGCCCAGGGUUGAUGCCAUCAGAUGGCAAGCCACCAGCAGGUGGAGGCUGCCUGGCCGGAGCCACGUCCAGCCACUAACCUUUGCUGUGCCUUUUGGUGUCAGAGGUGGCCUCUGUGUUGGUGAAUGCUGCUGGAGAAUUUGGCCAGAGCCAGGAGGAGCCCAGGCCAGUGCCUUCCCGCCUCAGCCUGCCUUGUCCGGGCCUGGGGAGCAGGACUGCGUGCCCUCCUCAGCAGGCCCUUCAGAAUCGCUCUGGUGCUCUUGGCCUCUCAGAGCGCUUCUUCUGCUGGGCUGCUCCAGGAACCACCUUUUCCAGAAGUCUCUGUUCUUGGCUGGGCCUGUCCUGCAGCCCACACUGCCUCUGAGCCCUCCCAUGAUGCGGGCUCGGGUGCUGUCUCCACUCUGCCUCCUCUGCUGCCCUCCUCCUCACCACCCUGCCUCACAGCCAGGCCUGCUGGACUCUCCUCCUGGGAAGCUCUGGAAGGACGUGGGGAUGGAGCCAGGAGUAAGAUGAGCCUUCUCAGGGUGGGGCAGCCAGCAGGACCCCACCUCAGACGGACCAGCAGGAGGUCCUGGGGGGACUCGGAGCCGUACCUGCUCUGAUCCUUCUCUUCUGUGGUGCCUGCAGCUGGGACACGUGGGCAAGGCCAGGCCUGGCUGGGAGACGUGUAGGUCCAGGACAGGUCUCGUGCUGGGCCUCAGGAUGCACAGGUCCUGAUAGGCCUGGGGAGGCCAGGGGUAUGGGACUAUUACCAUCCCCAGGGAGGCCUCGUGCCUUCUCCUUUAAGGCAGAGGCCUGCCGCUGUGUUCCUGAGGCAGGCUUGGGUGAUUCAGGCAAGGGUGUGCCCUGUGGGGCCUGGGUGUUCAGGUACUUUCUGCAAGUCCCCGACCUGGAGGGCAGCAGGAACGCUGGAGUAUACCCUGCAUCCCCUGCCCUGGGUGAGGCCCAGCCCAGCUUCCUUCAUCCCUGAUCGAUCAGCCGCAGCCCCUAUGGCCUUGUAGCCCUGGUUCUCCUAACGGAGGAGAAGCUUCUGUGGUGCCCAGGAACCUCUUGUGAGAUGGUCUGCAUGCCUCUGAUGUUUGUUGAAUGAAAUGACUGUGUGGGAGGAGCAGACUUGCCCUGAUAGGCACUGAGGCCAGAAGCAGGGAAGUAGCUGCAGGGCCGGCAGUGGGGUGGGAGUGCCCCCCGAUCAGUGCCAGCCUGGGGAAGCAGGACUCGUCCUCUCUUCAGCAGGCCCUGUCCAAGGGUAGCCUCUGGGGCUUAGACAGGGCCGGGCCUGGGGGCCUGGGGAAGUGAGCUGCCGAGCUCAUGGAUUUCCAGUUUCUGUGCUCCGAGGCUGCUGACAGGUGCACUUGCCCAGGGGCGCCUCCGGCUCUCUGCAUUUGUCCUGAGGGGUGGUUGGUGACCAGUGCCAUCUUCUUUAGCCCCUGGAGGCCUGCACAGCCCUUGGGCUUUUCAGAGGCUGUCUGAGGUAGAGCAAGUCCCACAUGCAGCGCCCUGUGCCAGGAGACAGGAGGGUGCCCUGUGGACCUGGAGCCUUCAAGGCAAGGCUUCUGAGCUGUCAGAGAGCCACCUGGCCAUGCCCCAUACAGCCUGGGGCUUAGGCAGGGCCGGGCCUGGGGGCCUGGGGAAGUGAGCCGCAGUUUCUGUGCUCCGGGGCUGUUGACAGGUGCUCUUGCCCAGGGGCGCCUCCAGCUGUCCUUCCUGCUUCCUUCUCUGGCUGCCCUCUGAUGUGACAGGACACUUUGAGUUUGGGGCAGCUGCAGCCUGCCCAGAAGAGGAAGAGGUGUGCUGCAGCCUUGUUGCCCCUUCCCUCCCCGUGCUGGGCUGUGUCCUGGAGACCUGUCGCCCUGUAGCCUGGCCUUGACUGGGUUGGAGGGUGGAGCAAAAGUAGAGACUGGGGGCUCAGGUCUGCCUGAGGCCUAGGGGUUUCUCAAAGGUAGGGCUCCAGGGAUGAGGCCGCCUUCUCUCAUAGAGCAGCCGCCCCCGCUGGAAGGCUGGGAGUCGCCGCUCCCUCUGCAGGCCCCAUGGGGCUGGGGGCACACGCUGCAGCGGCUCAAUGGCCCUCGGCCUCCUGGGCCAUAGGUGGGCCCUUUGCAGUGGGUGUCCGCUGCCUGAUUCCCGAGGCAGGCCUUCCGACCGCUGCCCCUCCCACAAGGACUUCACGUGUCUCAGGCGAGUGCCUGCCUCUGCUGGCCUCUGGGGCCUGCCGCACUGGGUGUUGACUGCCCUCUGCCCCUGUGUGGCCUGAGUUUGCCCAGUGGAGUCAGGACAACUGGACGUGCCUUCUGCCAUGUGGUGCUACUUCUUGGCCACUGCCUGGUGUAAAAUUUGUCCCCAGGACUGGGCCCAGGCCGUGCCUUCCCAAAGCCACUGGUCCCCAGCCAGCCCCAUGCUCUUUGAAUGGCCUUGUUGGAACCCAGCCACCGUAGAGUCCCACGUUCACAGCCCUGUCCUCUCAGCGGCACUGCAGGACCUGUCCCUGAGGGGGGCCAUGGCCAGAUGGGAGGCCGCCCGAGGCAGCCGCAGGCGGCUCUGGCUUUCCUCUUCACUCUUUCCUGAGGGGCUUUCCCCUGCCGCCUCCAAAGUCUGCUUCCCCAAGGACACUUCCAGGCCCUGGUCCUUCUCUCAAGGCCGAACACUGUCCACACCAGGGUGAUCCUUGAGUGGGCCCUGAGCCGCAUCCCUGCAGCCUCUGACCCUUUAGAGGCUGGACCUCGUUUCUUGAGUGUGCAGCCCACAUGGGAAGGAGCUCAGGGGCGGAUGCACGUCCAGCCAACCUGGGCUCGGGCUCCCCUGGGGCUCGGGCUCCCCGGGGCUAGCUCAGGUGAUGUAGGCUGGUCAAAACGUGGGCCUCCACCUGGUGACCGCCUUCUGCUGUGGUGACUUGCAGAUAGUACUGCAGCAGCACGUGUGGAGGCGGCCGGGGAGCCCCGGGCUGGGCUGGGCUGCCAUACCAAGUAAGUGGGUCUGAGGGUAGGAGCGCUGGCUGGCCCAGCCUCGGUCCCUUUGUCCCUCACCCAUCUGUCUGGGAAGCCAGGCCCUGCCUGUGCCUAGAAGGGACAAGCCCAUGGUCUUCUUUGAGUCAGGCCACUGGCUUACGUGUGGGCACUGGGAGGGGGGAAGAAGGGACAGAGCCAUGGUCUGAGUGGCUCCCGCAGUGGUCAGCACCAUCUCCUCUCAUUUGGACUCCCCACCACCUUACCCCUCAGCUUCCUCACCCGCCUGGCCUACAAGGUGGUGGUUAGGUCUGUAACUGGCACAGUGGGAGCUGGCCAGUGGGGUGUGGGCAUAGCGUGGCUGUGCUUCCGGGGAGGCCGGUGCACUGUGGUCCUCACUGGCAGGCUGCCCUAGGUAGCCCUGACCCCCUUGUCCCAGGAAGGCUGGCCGGCUCUGCCUGUCUGCCCUUCCUGAGCGCUCUCCAGGCCUCACUGUGGGGUGCUAGCCUGGGGCUCUGCAGCUGCCUGGGGCUGCUGCUUGGAGGUGUGGGUGGGUUUUAGGGAGGGAGACAAACCUCCACUGUUGCACACGAGCAGGACCCAGAGCAGACUUGAGGGCCACCAUCGCCUUGUGCCCACCACCAUGAGGAGGGCCUGACCGCGCCAGGCAGGCUGGAGACCUUAGUCCAGCAGGAAGGAGGGCCAGCAGCCUUGUCCCCUGGCUCACUUGCUCACUGUGUUCCUUUGGUCCCUGCUGGCUCCUACAAGCAGAUCCUGUCCCUUGAGUUUGUGUCCCAAGGACCAGACAGGUGGGCAUUCAGUCUGGACAUGGGGGUGGUGGGGUACCCUGGGAGUUCAGAGGCCCCCCAGGUUGGCUGGGGUGGGAGGGCUCCCCGGAGAGCACACACCUGCUGCGGCUGAGCCGAGGGAAGGUCUGCUGAGUCCUGAGGACAGGCCACUGCAGCCCGCUCCAGUGAGGAUGGUCGUGUGAGGGCUGUGACGAGGGAGGGGCAGCCACAGUGCCUUGCUUUCCUGGGGGUCUGGGGAAUGCACUGUGCUUGGCAAAAGCCCUCGGUGGCCUUGGAGAGCAGGAAACGAAGAGCCUUGGUGGGGAGAAGGUAGAGGCGAGGUGGGGCUUGCUGCCCCCAGGCUGAGGCUGACCUCCACGCUGGGGUGGGUGGCUGCAGGCCUCGGCUGGCAUUCAGCAGGAAUGUGUGACGGAAUGAUGGUCAGGGCCUGGUCACAGCUGCCUUCCCCCAUUUUCCAUCAUGGCCAUCAGAUUCAAGGUCAGUGUGGCCAGCGGUGGCCCUUUGUGAUGGCUGGUGAGUGGGACUGGGGCACCUUGGGAUGGCCACUCAGGCUCCUGUCCAACCCUCAGUCCCAGCCAUCUUGUGGCAUGGACAGGUCUCCACUCAGGGCCCUUCCAGAAGCUUCCUGGGGUGGGACUUGCAGGCCAGUGCAUCAGGAGGCACACACACAGAGGACCUUGUCCUGAAUGACAAGAGGACUUGAGUGCCCAGGACCAGCUGGUCAGGAAGGAUGCACAGAUGCCUGGGGCAGCAGAGGGAGAUGUGACCAUGGGGAGGAGGAGGAGGAAGCAGGAGGGGAGGUAGCCACACCGACCAGCUCCUCCCGGUGGGUGUGGGGCCCAGAACUUCCCCCACUGUAGAUGAGGUGAGUGGACACAGCAGGUGGUCUGCCAGAAGCCACCAGCACAAUGCCCUGCCCCCAUUGGCAUGGCCCUCCCACAAGCACAUCAGGAAGGGAUGUCUGCUGGCCUGUCCAUGCCCAGAGGCCCCAGGCCUUCCCCUUUCAGGUUAGGAAUUGGCAGCCUAGAGAAGCAGGGGAGGUCCUAGUGCCCCCCAGCCGUGGAGACCAGGCCCAGCUGGUCUGGGAGCUCAAGUCCUUUGGACCCUGGGAAGCGCAGCCCCCCUUCCUUCUGAGAUGGCACUGUGGGAACUCAAGGCAGGCGGGGGGCGGGGCUGGAUAGAAAGCUCAGUGGGAAGACGGAUGGAUGGGUCAAUGAAGUGACAAAAAGUGGAUGACAGACAGUGGGUAAGUGAGGGCUGAGUGGCUGGUGAGCAGGUGGGUGGAUGGAUCCAGGCGAGGAGAAGGGUAGUGGGACUGCCUGGGUGACAGAGCAAGAUGAACAGGUGGGUGGGCAGGAGGAUGACUGUGGAGAGACAGAGGAACGGCCAGGGUGCCAGUAGAUAGAGGGACCCCUGGGUGGGCAGACGGGAAAGGCGGCGGGGGACGGGGGGGGGGGCCCGCCCGGCUGCUGCAGCAGGUGCCUUUGCCUCGCGCACCUGGCCUUCUGCAUCUCUAAAGGGCGCCGUGCUAGCUGCCGAGGGGACUGGCCCUGAACGGCUGCAGGCAGGGGGCCUCGUGUGUCUGCUGCCUCCCACCUGCUCCCCUGUCGUGCCUGGUACUGCCCACUGGUGGCCAGCCCAGACUGACCCUCCCCUGUCUCCCUCUGUUAGCCGACGAGGAAGACGAGGAUGAAACUGCCAACUGCCUGUGGCGACCCCUGAGGACCCCGGAAGGGCCCAGUCCACCUGAACCUGACCCCCUGGACUUCCGAGGAGCUCUCCGUGCAUCCACCUCCUCACCCUCCCUGCCUGCCUCCCUGGCAUCUGUGCCCCCAGGGGCCGCGGGCAUGGGUUCCUUUGGGCCCUCCCCACCUUCCUCAGCACCAGCAUCUACGCUGCCCCUGCCCUCCGGGAGGACCCUGUGCACAGCGUCUGAGGCCUCCGUGUUUGAGCAGCAGCUGCUGGACUCCCACCUGCGGCAGGGUGCCCUGCUGGCCUCCUGGUCGCAGCAGCAGGGUGCGCUGAUGGCCCAGCAGAACCUGCUGCUGCAGCGGCUGGCGGAGCAGAGCCAGCGGCUGG